UAUACAUAUACAAAUGUGUGUGUGUGUGUAUGCACCCACAUACACGCACUCAUGUACAUAUACACAUACAUAUAUUUAUUAUACAUCUACAAAUACACAUCUCUUCCUUGCAUUCCCUCCAACACACACAUACACACACUGCAGUUCCAGUUUCUCAAGUCACUCUCUCUCUCUCUCUGUUUUCCUUUUCUUUUUUAAUCAGUUGAAGUAGCUUGUCACUUGAAAACUUAAGUACUAUUUUUCAUUAUGAAUGUAAAUGUUAUAUAUAUAUAUAUCUAUCUAAAAUCUGUCUUUCAUCUUAGAAAGCAAGUUUCCCAUGCAUAGUUGGCCAUUUGUUGGAGUCUAGGACUUCUGCAUCAGCAACCACUUGGUUGUUUUUGUUUGUUUUUCUGUUUUGUAUUUGUUUUUGUUUUUGCCCCCCUUCCUCACAUACUCCAGAAAACCCAUUUCUAAGUGCUGUUAUGAGAUAGUAUAUCUUCUGUGCUAUCUUGCAUUGCUGUCAUAUUUGCAUUGUGCGCGUGAGUGUUUGUGAAUAUACAUACAUAGUCAUAGACUCAUUUCCUCCCCCCCCCCAUCACUGUAACUCUUAAUUAUAUCAAUCAUGGUCAGGGGUGUAGUAUAAUUCAGGGUAUGCUAGGUGAGCACCACCCAACCCACCGAUGGUUAAUUUCUUUUUAUAAUAAUUCUAUUCUCACAGAAUCAUGAUAUAAUCUGGCUAUAAUUUGUUUUCAGAUCUAAGCUAAUAAUACACAUUCAUAAACAGAUUAAGUCAGUUUGAAGUUAUGUAUGGAAAUAAAUUAAAGUUUGCAUUGUUUACAAUUAUACCAGUUGUAAGCUCUGCAUGAUGGCACACCCUAUGACAUACACCACUAUCUACCACUCAUCACAACCUUGCUGUAUAGUUCUAUAAAUUUUACAUUAAGCCAUCACACCACAUAUCUUCACAAUAUUCAUGUAUAUGAAAUCAUCCAUCAUUCUUACUGUGUUACAUCAUACCCAGCAACCUGCACAUAGCUUUCAUAUUGCACACCAUAUUCUAUGAUAUUCUAACACGCAACCCUUUUGCUCAAGUUUCUUGCCCGUAACACCUUGCUUGCUUGGCUUCGAGUCAAGUAUGAAAAGCUUACUCAAUGCCAUAAGAAAUGUCUUCACCCUGCCAUGUUAUAUCUGACACUCAUGUUGUAAUCUCAUAACUUCAUCUACAAUCUUCUUCAGUUCAAGAUUAUCUACUGGUUUUAAUUGAAAAUCAAAUCUAAGUGAAUGUAUGUGUGCGUAUGUAUGCAAAUCAUUGAAGUGUAUACAAGGUGUAUUGCAAAAAUCUAUCUUGAUAUUAUAUAUAUUAUACAUCAUUGGAGCUUUACAUAUGGGUUUUUACACACCUCGAUGUAGCGGUCAGUUUUGAUUCAGAGUCGGAACAGUUGUAGUUGUAUUCUUUACACUGUAGAGGAAGAUACCAACAUCAUCACAUUCCCGAUGUAGCAUUUUGUCUUUAAGGACAAAUUCAUUCAUAAAUCUAAAUAUUGAUUACUAAACUGAGAUUUUUAUCCUAAGCCAAACUUUUGACAGUGUUCUCUCUGGAGCAUCCUCAAGCAGCAUUGGUGCUACUCUUGGAGUUUUCAUAUUCUCUAGAUCUGACAUCUGUAUUCAUAUAUUUAUAAUUGAGAUAUGACUAUAGUAUCCUAAUUUGUUUUAAAGUUGAUUUUAUCUUUAAUUACUUAUACAGUCAACUGUCUUGUGUUAUAGAAUCAGAUAUUAGUAGAAAUGCAUUUAAAAUGCUUGAUAUGCAUUUUUAAUUUAAAUUAUCUUUGUACUGUGUAGCACAAGUUAAUUAGUAAGUGAAGUUUCAUUGACACUUUUCACUUGCAAAUUCUUUAAGUUUUUGGCAUUUAAAAAAACAAAACAACAAAUAUUGUUUUUAUUCUCCAAGGCCCUGACUGCAGUUAAAUGGAUGUUAUUGCCACUCUGUCUGAAGAUGAACCUGUCUUGAUUUAUCUUUUGAUGUCAACUGGUGUGUAUGUGUUGUUUAAAUUAAGUGUAAAAGCGAUGUGCUUUGUAACAUAGUCUAGAGCUUUUCAUUGUACAUUUGGCUAAUGAAUUUGUGUGUACCUGAGAGAGUGAGAUAGAAUACUCCCCCCCCACCUCCACCACUGCCAUUGCUAGUUGCAAAGGUUUUAUUUUUUUUACCUAUUUUUAUCUGUGUGUAUGUAUAUGUGUGUGUGUAUAUAUAUAUAUAUAUAUAUAUAUAUAUAGAUUAUGUGUGUGUGACAUAAUAUGGCUGAUGUAACAAUUCUAACAAGCAUUUGAUUCAGGUAUUGCAGUUCUUUUUUUUUUUUCCUUAAGGUAUUUUGGUACAUCAGAAAACUUCACUAUGUACAGUAUAUUUUUGAACUUGUCAUUGGUUCUAAACUUGUAUUAGCCACCAUCACAAUCUAGAUAGCAGUGCAGAGUGAAAGCAGAUCUUUCUUAUUUCUCUUCCAUCAUAUCUUCAACUUUACUCUUUCAUUGUAUUUUCUUAACAUUAACUAAACACACCUUGACUAUUGUCACUCCAUCAUCACUUCAUCUCUCUCUCUCUCCCUCAAAACAUUUUACCAUCUCACAACAAAAUCACUCUCAGCUACCACCAUCAGCUCUGACUAUCAUUAAUACUGCUACAACUAAUAAUAUUACUGCUAUUAUUACUUCUACUCCUACUGCCACCUCUAACACCACUAUUUAUUUAUUCCAAUAAUGAUUGUAUUGGGUUACUUUGAAAUCUAGUCAUCGGAAACUGUCCAAAAGUUAUGCAUUAAUCACAUAAGUGAAUUGUUAUAGACACCCAGUUUUAUUAUUCUUUAAUAUUCACACAUACUGUGUGUGUGUACACACACACACACACACACACAAACAAAUGUGUAUUUAUACAGCCUUGUAUGUAUGUAAAUACAUAUACAGAUUCAUGUGUGUGUGUAAAGUAUGUGUAUGUAUGUAUGUGUGUGUGUGUGUGUAUAUAUAUAUAUAUAUAUAUAAAAUAUAUAGUUACAUAUAUAAUUCAUUUGAAUAUCAUUCAUAAGUACACCUAUUCAUGCACACGCAUACACACAGUACAAAGAUUGUAGUUUUAGUUUGUUUUUAUUUAUUUAUGAUUUUUUUCAUCUUCUGUUUUGUUUUUUUAUUUAUUUAUUUCUUUUUAUUUGUAAAUCAAAAAUCAAUACUGCUUGGAACAAAAACAGAAAUGGAUUUCAAAAAAAAAAAAUUAAAAUAAAAACCAAAAAAGUUACAAUAAAACUGGAGAUAUAAAAAAAAAACCAAUAACAGCAAAAAAACCCCACCAUGCUUAAAGUCAAUUUUUUUUUUCUUCCUUAUCAUGUCUCUAACUGGCCAUUUACAAACUGACAAAACAACAACAUCUACAGUAUAUAUAUAAUAAAAUCCAAUGAAACGAAAUAAAAACAAAAAACAAAACUUGCUGUUGGUUCAUGGGAAUUAUUUUGUUACAACUCCAUGGUAACAAGGAAAUGUUUAAUUACAUAAGUGAUUAUUGUAUUUUUCUUUUGUUCUUUUUAGAUUUUAAUUAUCUUUGAGUUGAUUUGUUUGCUUUUUUAAAAAUGACAAUAAAUGAAGUCUGUGUGAGAAUUUGUAUGUGUGUGUGUGAUUAGUACAAAGAGUAUUUAAUACAUGCAUGUACACACACACACACACAUGUCAAGUUUUUUAGGAAUACUGAGUUGAAAAACCCUUUGAGAAAAAGUUGAAGGUUGCUUGUGGGACUUGAACCCACACCUCCUGUAGACAUGACAAGUGUUCUGCCCCUGGACUAAAGUAAUCCUUUGAACAUCUGUAUCCAUUUCAGAAACCAUUUUUACCAGUGAGAAUUCUAUGUUGCUGACAUUAUAAGAAUUUAGAAAUUUCAAGAACAUGAAAUUCUUUUAGUUUAUACACACCCUCUGGUGCAGGCAUGGCUGUUCGGUUAAGAAGCUGUCUUUGCAACCAAGUGGUUUUGGGUUCAGUCCCACUGUGCAGCACCUUGGCCUAGAAGCAGUCAAUCAGGAUCACUUCAGCAUUUUUCUGUUCUAAGACUGCAGGGUUUGAUUUGAAGGAGAUUCGAACAGUAUCUCUAGCAGGUUUAACAAUCAUCAAGAAGCUCCAUACUGGCACAUUUUAACAGAAUAGAAUGGAGUCAAUAAAAUAAGUACCAGUUGAGCAGUGGUGUCAAUGCAAUUGAUUUACCCAACUCCCAGAAAUUGCUGGCCUUGUGCCAAAAUUUGAAACCAAGAUUAUAAGAUAGUCCUGGGGUUGAUUUUAUCUGUAGUACCUUUGCUUUACCUAUAACACCAACCACAAGGCAUAAUUGAAGAAUUGGCCCCUUAUCCACACCAACUAUAGAAUUUACAGGACAGAACUCCACCAUACUAUCUCUUUCCCAACUGCUAAAAGAUUGAGAAGAUGGAGAAAUUUUUCCCUAAGGAAGAUAACAGGAUGCCCCAUGCAAUGAACUUAGUGGACAGUUGGAUCCUUCCUAUUCAAAGAUAACUUAUUGAUGUAGGAAUAUUUGUGAUCAUGGAAGCAGCAAGAAAUAGUAGCCAGAUUCCCUUAAAUCACAGCCUAGUAUCUUCAAAAAUGAUAAUGUGGUCUUACAUACAAGGAGUAGGAUUGGUCAUGGGUCUUCUCAGUCAGGGAUGAUCUGGGGCUAAACAACAUCCUCGAUCAGGUCUGCUUGCAGGAUGACAGCACUGUGAAGUCUGUGGGAAUUUACUUUAAUGUGACAUGACUUGGGUGCCUUGUAGGGUCAGAGAUUUUUCUCUGAAAUAAAAGAAAAAUAUGAUGCUCAACAGGUCUAUAUUGUGACUCAGAAAUAAUCCUUUAUAGAAUAAGCAAAGGAAAAAGUUCCAACUACCUUGACUGACUACUUCAUAUCUGGAUUAUUUGUUAAUUUAUGUUGUUGUUUAGUAGUGUUUAGGAAAAAUAAUCACAAUGACAUUAAUAAAAACUGGAAAUACCAAUGUUAUUUGUCAUCCUAAUGUCAAACAUCUAUACAAAAUACAUUUAAAAAUAAAAUGCUGCACAUACAAACAAACUCUGCAAGUGUCAAAACAUUAUCAUUUUCCAUGCUGGCAUAGAUUAGGUAGUUUGACUGGAACUUGUAAGCCAGAGAGCUGUACCGGACUCCAAUUUGAUUUGGCAUGAUUUCUA